UUGAUUAUUCAGCUCGUACGUUUUGGUGAAUUUUUGUUCCCUUACAAGAACUGUGACUUUUGGGGGCUUCUCCUUUUCUCUCCUAGGGUUUCCCCAAGUGUGAGUGGGUAGUCAAUUCGGCCCCACAAAGGCAAGCUCUGUCGGGUUCUUCCCUUCCUUCAUCAUUGGAGGGUUUGCCGAGCAAUUGCAUUGUGAUCAUUGUUUAUUACGAUAGACGAUCUAAGGAUGCGAGCAUGGCAAGAUUUCACAUCGAUUGUUAGAGCUAUUGAUCUAAAGUGGGUUCCUCCAAGAUUGGGGUUGCCAUUGCUAUUUUGAAUGUCUAAGAGUACCAAAUUAAUGGCAGGCUUGGGAUUACAAAUAGUGGAGUUGCAAGAUUUGAAGACCCCACUUUACGUGAUGAAAUCAAGGAAAAGGGUGAAAUGGAUGAUGAAUUUGGUUGCUGGAUCGGUGAUGGCUCUUCAACGAAGAAUUGAAGGCCUGUUGAUUGAGACACUAGCGUUUGAAGCAUUGCUGAUCGAUCAUCCUUAGAGGCUGAGAGCAGGGUUUCUGACUAUGGUAAAUCUUUUUUGGGUUUCAUCUCUCAUUUCUGCGUUGGUGGUGUGGGUGAUUUGCCAUGGGUACCUCUUGGCUUAGUGACAUUGAAGAAAAUAUUGUGUUGAUGAUGCUUAGGUCCAACUCUGAUGUAAAUAUUUUCCUUGCCUUCAUUUUUUUUGAAACUUUUGCGCGUCUAUUCUAGGAAAGUAUUAUUAAUUUAGAUGAAAAUUUUGAUUCAUUCUAUGAUGUGAGUUUUAAUUUGGUUUUCUGGAGGAGGGAAUUUACUUGCUUGGUGUGGUUAUUGAAUUUGAUUUGGUAUCUUUAACUGUUCUCUUAAA